rnacentral:other from 1 species
UUAUCCCUGCUGUGUGCGUGAUGGAUUUUCAAUGUUGAGCCAACGCUUUAAAAAAGGGGACAAACAUACGUAGAGGGGAUGUAGUAGCCGCAAGGCCAGGCAGUAGCCUCACGAAAAAGUUCCCACCUGCAUCCGCAGGUUCAAACAACGAGGUUCACACGGCAUAGUGGGGUUCAG